UCCAUCUCCACCCCUGGAAAAGUGGCUCGGUGAGGGCGAGGACAGUAUUUGGUCACUGCUGAGCCCCUGGCCCUCUGCUGGCCCACCGCAGGUCCCAGAAAAUACUAAGUGAUGAAUGAAGCAAAGAUUUUGUGUCCCCUGUGGGGACAAGAGGCAGCGAGGGGAUGUGGUUUGAAGACCCAAAUGGUGGAAUUAAGGAAGCAACAGUAGGGGAACAUGCUUGAAACAGGUCAACCAGGGGUGGGGGGCACCUUGGAUGUGUGGUGUCUGGUCUGGCACAACGUCCUGGACAUUUUUGGCUUUUCAAGGUUCUUUCCUUGCUCCCUGAGGCAAGGACAAUGGGUGUUAGCUUCUGGCCCUCCGUCUCCCAGCACGAGCCCGGGCCUGUGUGUGGUGCUAAAAGGCUCUUGAUUAAGAACCAGGGUGCACAACCCAAAUUUGGGGACCUCUUCUCUCAUCGAGAACUUGCACCAAAUUUCAUUCCAAAGCAGGCCCCUCCCUGCCCAGGGCCCUCCCGGCUCCCUCGGAGGCUCUAGAUGAGAUACACCCUCUACCCUUUGGAAUUGCCUUCCUUCCUGGUCUUUAAAGUGAGGCUCUCAACUCACCUCUUCAAGGAGUGAACUCCAGACCUGCUUGCCCCGGGGCCCCUGUGCAUACCCUCCUGACCCCAUGACCCCGGCUCUCCCCCUCUCCACGCCCCCCCCCCCCAGCUUUGUGCCAGACUCGUUUGUUGGGUGUACUUGUGCGAAGAGGAGCCGAGGGCUGGGAGGCAGAGCUGGGUUUGAAUCUCAUGCCAACACUUGCAGCUGUGUGACCUUGAGCAGGUCUCCGAGAGUAGGGGUUUUGUCUAUCUCGUUCAUUUCUGAAUCCCAGGGACCUGGAAGAGGGCCCAGCAUACACUGACUGACUGAAUGGCGGGUAAACAGCCAACGCCAGACACGUGGAGCAUCCCCACAACCCUUGUCAGGGUCAAAGAAAUCCGGACAAGACUAGUAGGGCUACCUGCCAUGGCAGAGGCCCAGGCUCUCAUCCCAGCUCUGCCUCCAAUUUGCUGUGGGUUCUCAGCAUUAUUCACAAUAGCCAAGACGUGGAAGCAACCCAAGUGCCCAGCAACAGAUGAAUGGAUAAAGAAGAUGUGGUAUAUAUAUACAAUGGAAUACUACUCAGCCAUAAAAAAGACAAAAUCAUCCCAUUUGCAACAACAUGGAUGGACCUUGAGGGAAACAGCCAGUGCUGUGCUGGAAAACCGGCCCUGGGGGACGGCAGCCCCGAUGCAUGGCGUUUGUCAGUUUCUGCGGAGUAAGUCAGCCUACCAUGGCCAAGUUCAAGCCCCCAACCUGAGAUCACUGAACACAGAGCUGAGAAGUGAUGCACAGAAUCAGCUCUCAAGAGCCACACCCCUGUCAGCCUAAGCACAGGUGCGACAACAGGGAUGAGG
rnacentral:lncRNA from 1 species